AUUGAACGCUGGCGGCAUGCCUUACACAUGCAAGUCGAACGGCAGCACGGACUUCGGUCUGGUGGCGAGUGGCGAACGGGUGAGUAAUAUAUCGGAACAUACCUUGUAGUGGGGGAUAACUAUCCGAAAGGAUAGCUAAUACCGCAUACGCUCUAAGGAGGAAAGUGGGGGAUCGCAAGACCUCAUGCUAUAAGAGUGGCCGAUAUCUGAUUAGCUAGUUGGUGAGGUAAAGGCCCACCAAGGCGACGAUCAGUAGCUGGUCUGAGAGGACGACCAGCCACACUGGAACUGAGAGACGGUCCAGACUCCUACGGGAGGCAGCAGUGGGGAAUUUUGGACAAUGGGGGCAACCCUGAUCCAGCAAUGCCGCGUGAGUGAAGAAGGCCUUCGGGUUGUAAAGCUCUUUUGUCAGGGAAGAAACGGUUGUGGCUAAUAUCCAUGGCUAAUGACGGUACCUGAAGAAUAAGCACCGGCUAACUUCGUGCCAGCCGCCGCAGUAAUAC
rnacentral:rRNA from 1 species